UUUCUCCGUCGGUUUAGAGGUCUUCCCAUUUUUAAAGACGGAAAUUUAGUUAAUGUUUAUAUUUUUUUAUAUGUCAAAAUCGACAGAUAAAGAAAUUACCGUCGAUUUCCAAAGCCUCCCAUUUUAAUAAGACGGAUUUUUAUUUUUUAAUUUAUUGUUUAAUACAUUUAUUUUUAUUCAUAUUUAUUUAUUACUAACACUUUUACGUAGUAUCUUUACAAGUACCCGGAGCUGCUUCCCAUUGAAGCUAUUCGAACAAAGUUCGAACAAUAUUUUGAUUCAUUAUCGUAUAUUAUUGACGGUAGACAAAUCUAGGUUGUUUCUUAUAUUAUUUUAUUUUAUUACUUGUGUAUCUUGUAUGUUUGUUUUAUUUAUAUAUUAUUUUUAUCUCCUUCUCAAUUUGAAAAAAUGAACUCAGUCGGGAC
rnacentral:lncRNA from 1 species